rnacentral:rRNA from 1 species
GUGAACGUUACCAAACUGUUGCCUCGGCGGGAUCUCUGCCCCGGGCGCGUCGYAGCCCCGGACCAAGGCGCCCGCCGGAGGACCAACCAAAACUCUUAUUGUAUACCCCCUCGCGGGUUUUUUACUAUCUGAGCCAUCUCGGCGCCCCUCGUGGGCGUUUCGAAAAUGAAUCAAAACUUUCAACAACGGAUCUCUUGGUUCUGGCAUCGAUGAAGAACGCAGCGAAAUGCGAUAAGUAAUGUGAAUUGCAGAAUUCAGUGAAUCAUCGAAUCUUUGAACGCACAUUGCGCCCGCCAGUAUUCUGGCGGGCAUGCCUGUCCGAGCGUCAUUUCAACCCUCGAACCCCUCCGGGGGGUCGGCGUUGGGGAUCGGCCCUUUACGGGGCCGGCCCCGAAAUACAGUGGCGGUCUCGCCGCAGCCUCUCCUGCGCAGUAGUUUGCACACUCGCAUCGGGAGCGCGGCGCGUCCACAGCCGUUAAACACCCCAAACUUCUGAAAUGUUGACCUCGGAUCAGGUAGGAAUACCCGCUGAACUUAAGCAUAUCAAUAAGCGGAGGAA